rnacentral:lncRNA from 1 species
AAGACUAUAAACAACUUUUUGCAAACAGUAAGUAAAGAAUGGAUCUACCAGGCAGACGAGAAAACCUAAGAAAAAUGACUCGACGCAACAUUUUAUUAUCAGAUGACGCCCUUCGCUUGGUGAAAACAUUAUUCCCAAAGAUUCACAAGUAAAGGCGGAUAAGUAAAAGUGUUCGAAACAUUGGCUAUCCUAUCAACAUUCAUACUGAUUCAUUCAGAGUAGGCGGCGUCUGUACGCGAGGAGCAUCAAGAACAUGGCAAUGGCUAGAGUUUCAAGCAGAGAUUGAAUCUACUCCUAAAAAUGGGCGGAGGCCUAACCUGAUGCUUUCGGGUAAAAGGAGCCGACGGUGAUGAAGUUUGUUGGAGAAGCACGGGCGUCCCGUCGAGCGAAGAGGUCGUCGACGGCGGCAGAGUUUGCGGU